rnacentral:lncRNA from 1 species
GAGGCAGGGCCUUGGGAGAAGAGGCCACCAAGACACGGGCCUGGGCAGAGCUGGAAUUAGGUCAGCCCUUGCCUACCGCUGCUCUGACUCAGCCAGGCCCAGCCUCCUGCAGUAGCUCUGGGCCAGGGGCUAUUCAGGAAUCUUGGGCUCUUCAGAGCCCUCUAAAUGGCCGGAGUACAGAGGCAGAAACUCCAGGCUAGCCCCGCGAUCCCAACCCCAGACUCUGCAGCAGCUCAGCUCCUCCCAGCCUGUGCUCCUCCUGUGACUGCGCCUCUCCUCUCUCCUCUCUCCUCCCCUCCCCCUCCCCUCUCUUCUCCCUUCUGCAGGGCUGUGCUGGGGGGGCAGGUGGGGGUGGGCUCUGGGAUUAGAAGAGUCUUUCCCAUGCUUGGCCUCAGCAGAAUCAACGAAUUCCUCCAUCUGAUUGGAUUUACUCUAAGUCGCAGGCAUGCGGGACCUUCUUUCCCUCAGCAACAGCUGGAAACAGCCCUAAAUAUGAUUAAUUAAUGCCGUAAAAAGCCCCGGACACAAUUAAGAUUUAUGUGUGUGUGUUUCUGUGUGUCUGUGUAUAUGUCUGUGUGAUGGGGGCGGAGUGGAUUACAAACCCACCCCCAGAGCCUCCAGGGGAGCAGGGGACAUUUCCAAAGAGACCUCCCUGGGCACCACCCCAGGCAGGGUCACUCUUCCGCCUCUGGCUUCACAGAGGAGCCCCUUGGGCCCAGCGCCUGCUGUCCUCUGCUCUCAGAUGGGGUGGCUGGCGCUCUGGGGCGGGUGCCGUCUCUUCUCCAGCGCAAGCAGAACACCUCGUUGCCAACCCCACUUCCUCUUCUGCAUCGUUUCAGGGACCAGCGAUGUAUACAGCACCGCAACCGUCCCGGGUGGGGCUGAGAAAGGACUGGGAGCCCCGAGAGGGAGCAGCCAGGCUCUGCCCGGUCUUCCGCACCGCCUUCACUGCCACCCUUGAGACGCAGCCCCUGGACUCACCUCUGGACCUGGAGUCCCUCUGUCUCUCUCCGCAACCCCUCCUGGUGACUGUCUCCAUCU